rnacentral:rRNA from 1 species
AUUGAACGCUGGCGGCAGGCCUAACACAUGCAAGUCGAGCGAGCGGCGGACGGGUGAGUAAUGUAUGGGGACUGCCCGAUAGAGGGGGAUAACUACUGGAAACGGUGGCUAAUACCGCAUACUAUCGGAUAACCCAUAUGGGAUUAGCUAGUAGGUGGGGUAAAGGCUCACCUAGGCGACGAUCUCUAGCUGGUCUGAGAGGAUGAUCGGCCACAUUGGGACUGAGACACGGCCCAGACGCCUGCGGAGGAGUCAGUGGGGAAUAUUGCACAGUGGGCACAAGCCUGAUGCACCCAUGCCGCGUGUAUGAAGAAGGCCUUAGGGUUGUAAAGUACUUUCGGCGGGGAGGCUUUACCCGAAGAAGAAGCACCGGCUAACUCCGUGCCAGCAGCCGCGGUAAUUC